ensembl:lncRNA novel transcript
AGAAUUUCAGAGAUGCAACAAGGAUGGAAUUACUGUCCUCGUUCUAGGUUUAGAAGGCAGGCAUGCAAGUACCUAGAGAAAGAGAACAGAUGAAAGCUGGCAGCCUCUUCAUUUACAGACAGCACAAUUUUCUGAAUUUAGCAAGACUCUUCUUUUCCCCCAGAACGCUCUAUAUCAGCAUGGGCCUGUGACCUUCUGUGACUGAUAAAAUAGUCCAGCUUCCAAAAGGAGAGAAAGAAGACAAAAAGGAGUGAGAAAAAUGUCAAAGAAAUAAGGCUGGAACACAGAUGUUGUGGGGGCUCAGCUUUGAGUUUUCAAAUAAGGACAACACGUGGGGCAACAGGAUGGAAGAAAUCUGGGUCCCUGAAUGACUUCAUGGAGAAGAGCCAUUCAGCUAGCAGGACUACUUAUAUCUGGAUUAUUAUGUAGGAGAUACACAAACUUUUAUCUUACUUAAGAAAAAUCAGAUUCAUCAAUUGAAUCUUUGGCCAACAACUGUUUGGGAACGAUGUUAACAUCACAUAAACAAGUCACGUGCAGAGAAAAGGUAUUUAACCUGAGUCUUUAUGGAAUUUCCCAGGCCACAUCUCCCAUCAAAUUCUCGACUAUGAAUUUCUAAGGAACUAUAGACUUUUAUACUACAAGUAACAAACCUACGUUCAAAGACAGAAAUAACUUCUGCAAAUUAAUAAGGAAAGAAAAUGUCAGAAUCUGGGCAUAUUUCAUGUGUUGUGAUGGUGCCAAUCUCAUGGACUGUCUACUCCUGGUUUGGUGUGCUCUUACAAGAAAAGUGUCAAAACCUUGGUCAAGUGCAAUGCACAGGAGUUGCAUCCACGACAGCAGUUAGUCAGAAAGAAAAGAUAUUUGUGAAAUGGCUGCUGUGGCUGGACUCUGUCCUAGAUUCUGGUGACGCAUUGGUGAAUAAGUCAAACCUUGCUCUGACUGUUGGAAGCUUAUAUUUUCAUGGUGGAAAGACAAAUAAUGAACAACUAAAUAAACAAGAUGUUUUUAGAGAGUGACAGAAGAACUAAAAUCAGGUCAAGAACUAGGCUUACAUCAACACUGACUAAUUUAGAUUAACAAAGGUUUAUCAAGCAAGCAGCAGGGGAUCCAUUGGAAUGCCAUAAAUAACUGAAUAGUGUUAUAUGGAAUCAAGAGGAUAUCGACUGAGUUGCUGUCCUGGGAACACUGGCGUGGCUUCUAAUUUUCUUCAGCACUGCUCUAUAAUAGGACUACCCUGCAUGUGUUUCCAGAUGGUGGUUUUUCCUGAGUGCCAAAGUUAAGUCAAUGCCACUAGGGAAAGUGGGAGAGGGCUAAGGAAACUGUCCUACUAUCCACAUUUAGGGAAUUCUAACUGAAGGAAUGAUUUCAUCUCUCAGCAUCUCUUAGUGACUUAAUAUUCAAAAAUUUUAACUGAUAUUGUUUCAUUUACCACAAGAUAGAAAUUCCAGCAAUGUAAAUUAGUUAUUAAUAAGUCCUAGAUUUCAUUGUUAAAAAGUUAAAUUUAAUGAUUCUACAGGGAAUACAUUUAAAGGAACAAAGUAAAAGUGAGAAGAAGUAAUAAAACAUAAAAUUCAGUGUUUUAGCUCAUGUCUUUCAAAAGCUUUAUAGACCUAAUUCCAACACUUUGCAAUUGUUCUUGUGUACCUCUUGUCCCCCCUUCCAAGUUUCUCACACUCCUCAUUGACUCAAAACCUGUUAUUUUCCAAGUCCCAUCCAAAUCAUCUCUAAUCCUAGUUUUGGAAGACCAUUUUCAUCUUCCUCCUGACCUCCCUCCCGUUCUUUGUCUCUUGUGAUUUUAUUAUGUCAGCUUCACCUAUAGAUAGGCUUUUUCUCCUGUCCACAUCAAGCCUCUGUGGUUCAUUCCUUCUCUGCUGGCUCUCCAUUUCACCUUUUUAAAAGUCUAGGAAUUAGCUUGACUGAGAAAACUUCUCUAUAGAAGGUAGAGAAAGGUGGAGGAAAGUUAACUGAGAAGACAAUUAAGACUGGUGUGAGAUGAUAGAAAUGUUGUGAUGCCAUGAAAGGGAAGGAUGUUUUGAUUUUCUUUGGUUGUUUGAAUAUCUGUCACUUACCAUCUUGUAUAUAGUUUUGCUGCUCUAAUUUCAGUAUUGAUUUUAUAAAUCCCAACUUUCAUUUUGUUUUUCAUAGCACAACAAAAGAAGUUCCCUGAACUUUGAACAGUAAAGUCAAAUUACAUGGAAACCAAAUGUCUAUAGGUCUUUAUAAUCCUAAAUUAUGUGUUACUCAAGAAAUGGCAUAAUUAAUGCAACCUAGGUAAUUGUACAACAUGUGCAUGCCUUAAGAGACCUGGAUUCUCUAGUACUAUGCUCUCCAUGUAAAUGCCCGAGUUUUAUGUUGCUACUUACAUUCAGAUUUAUAGAAGCAACCUGAGAAAAAUCUAAGUGAAGGCUGUAUCAUAUUAAUUUCCUCUCAGUGAAUAUCCUAUGGAUUUUCCUAAAAUAUCAGUAUGUACAUUUUGACAUAUUUGAAUAUAUAGCUCUGUAGUAGUCCAUUCUCAUGCUGC